rnacentral:misc_RNA from 1 species
CAUCUGCUGAUCGCGCUCGGAGAAGUCCUGCCCGGUGCAAUAGCCGAACACAUAGUUGAGUGCAUCGGCCUCGCUGACAUUGCGCGCCUGCUUGCCGAUCACGGCCACGAGUUCGGUCUCGUAGUCGAAGUUCUUGCCGGGCUCCUUGGAGACGGCAAUCGUUCCGCCGUGAUUGUUGAGGGUGGAAUUGUACUUGUUGAACAGGAUCGGCUCUUUUGGCAGCUUCUCGUUGGCUUCCGCCGCGUGUGCCUUGUAGUUCAGGCCGA